UUUUUUUCAAUUCAAUGACACUUUGCUUAAAUUACAUUUUUAAAUUACAAUUAAAGUACAUCAAACUGGUCCAACAAUGUUAAAAAAUUUUCCAUGCUAUUAAGGAUGGUAGUCUACACCAUGUUAUUGUCAAAUGUCCCAACCAGUUAUAUUCCAUUUCUAGUGGAUAAAAUUGCACAAUAUUUUGGAAUUAAUUUUUCUUACAUUCCUCAUCGUAGUACCGUUGAGCAAAUGGCUCGUCAGCUUGGCAGUAUUACUGAUUUGCAAGUAGCAGAAUGGGCCAUCAAUAAUAAUCAUCUCACACUUGGAUUUGAUGCAACAACGCAAGAAGGUGUUCAUAUAAACAGCAUUCAUUUAACUUCAAAAAAAUCAAUGCUAGGUUGUUGCUAUUGAUCAAUUACCAGGCGGGAAAGCAGUGGAUUAUGCAAAUCAUAUAUGUAAUGUAGUGGAUUAUACUGCCUUAGUUUAUUCAAACUUUCACUUACAACCCUUUGAUGAUUGUAGACGCCUAAUAAUCUCAAAUAUAUCAAACACCAUGUCUGAUAGAGUUUCGGUUAACCAUCUUACAAUCCUUAAAAAUUGGUGAAGUCUGGGGUAAAAGUCUAAAUGAGUUAAACUGCCACUUACACCCUCUUAACACAAUUGCUAUUUCAUGUCGAACAGCAUUAAAGUCUUUGGAAAAUGGAAAUUGCCAAUUAUUUGGAAAUGAUUGUGUUGCUGUUAAAAUUGUUUUGGCUAUGAAUAAGAUGAGGUUUAAAGAUGCAAGCGGUGAUCCAAAAGGAUUUGUCAAUUUUUUGGACAAUAACAAAUUACCAAGAGGUAUUAUUCAAAGGUACCGUGGAAACCGUCUACAUAUUCUGUUUCACACUUGUUUCAUUUUUAUAAAACACCACAGUCAAUUUAUGCAAUUUCUGACAAUUGGAACAGUAAAAAGGAAAACUUUACAAAGUAUUUUGCGUGCUGCAUUUUGUGAUACAACUGCUAUAAAACAAAUGUGCUUGCUUGCAUUAUUAGGAAAAAAUUUAACAGGACCCUGGAUGACUCACUUUUGAUCAUGUUGGUGGUAUUGCAAUAAUUAAAAAGGUUGUGCAAACACUUACAGAUUGUAAAGGUGCAUUGUUUACCAGAAAGACAGGUUUGUUUGGAAAUAUUAUCCAACCAAAUAUUUUACAAGCAAUAACAAGUAAAUGCAUAAUUGAUGAUGAGCUUAUUGCCAUGACAUCAGGUUGUCUUGUUGCAAUAGAAGAAGUUUUAAAUAGACAGUAUAAGCGUUAUUUUUCGAUUAAUAUUACAAAAACACUUCAAGAAGAGACAGCCAGUGCAAGGCUACAUAAUAUAGACAGUGAAGAGGUAAUGGGAAUGUUCAGUGCUGCAAAAGGAAGAUCACCAAAUGCUACAAUUGAUUAUAUCUCUUGCAAAUUGCGAACAAAAAAGAUUAGGACAAUGGAUUUUUUGGAAAAUCUUGAUAACUUUUAUAGAGAAAAAGUAAUUAAAUGGGCUAUUUAAGAAGCGCAUUUAAAACGAAAGAAAACUCGACUUCAGCAUGCUGAAAUUCGAGCUGAAAUUUCUAAAAGGCAGACAGUGAAACACCAAAAAUUAGACGAAAAAGAAAAAAGAAGGUUAGAGCGACAAUUAUCUCCACUAUCUGUUUGUGAAAUUCAAAAUUUAUUUAAAAACUUGUCUUCUAAGCAAAUUGAUGAUUUAAAUUAUGUUAUGUGUGAAAGAAUUGUUGGGAGGAAUCUCUGCCACGAAUGGUAUGAUACAGAUUCAACAAUGACAAUCUUGUAUAAUGGCAGAGUUAAAAAACUCAAAAAGACAACAAAAGGCAUCAUUUACACAAUUUCUUACUGGGCUCCAGAUGAAACUUAUACAGAAGGUGUUGACCAUAGCAUAAAAAAAUUCCAGCUGGUUACUGAUGUUGUAACAGGCGAGUUAGUAUUUUCGUAAUUUCUUAUGCUAUCUUAUUGUGGAACUUGCAAAAUUAAUAUACAGCAAGAAUUAGAACUUGCAAAAUAAAGGUUAAGCAAGUAGUGGAAUUUUCGUUGUAAAUGUACUGCUAAUAGUGGAACUUGUGAUUUACAGGAAGUAGUGGAACUUGCAAAAUAUAUGUACAGCAAGUAGUGGAACUUGCAACAUAAACGUAGAGCAAGUAGUGGAACUUGCAAAAUAUAUGUACAACAAGUAGUGGAGCUUGCAACAUAAACGUACAGCAAGUAGUGGAACUUGCAAAAUAUAUGUCCAGCAAGUAGUGGAACUUGCAACAUAAACGUACAGCGAGUAGUGGAACUUGCAAUAUAUAACUACAGCAAGUAGUGGAACUUGCAACAUAAAUCUACAGCGAUUAGUGGAACUUGCAAAAUAUAUGUACAGCAAGUAGUGGAACUUGCAACGUAAAUCUACAGCAAUUAGUAAAGUAAUUAAAAUUUUAGUAAUUAAAAUUUUUAGGUUGGAGGGGGGGGGGGGUUUGACAUCUCCCUCAGAAAAUAUGAAGACUGAUGCAUCUUGUAAUACUACUACUCAAAUAAGGUCAGAGGGGGUAACCGCUACUCCCUUCUUCAAAAAUAAAUUCUUUGAUGCAUCUUGUUUUAGUACUACUGUAUUAUGGUUAGAGGGGGUAACUCCCACCCCCUCUGCAAAAAUGAGUACUCUGAUGCAUCUUUUAAUACUACUACUGUAAUAUGGUUAGAGGGGGCGGGAUACGCCCUUUUCUCGUGUCUUUGUGUACAUCACUACUUAUAGUUUUAAAGAUGUAAAAAAAAAUUAUUCAUUUUAUAACAUUGAUCUAUUAGAUGUAUAUUUUGAAAUAAAGAUAAAAAUGAUUAUGAGAAUGAUUGUUUUUUUAAAUUAGGGUGUGUUGAAUUUUAACACCCAAGGUCCACCCCAUAUUUUUAAUAAACCUUUGAUAUUUGGCAGUGAAGUGUAAUGAAAUUGUAACAACUUUUUGCAAAUGAAAUAGACCGGUUUUCUUAAGAAACACUUUUUUAUUUAGAAAAAUCUCUUUUUAUUGACCGCAAAGACAGCGUAUCUAUGCGCCCACCGCCGACGGUAUGCCAAAUUGCUCAAGGUUGUUAUAAUUUUGUAGGUUAUUCUUGCACCUAUUUUUUAAUACCAAGAUAUAAGGAUUUUGAUGAGAAUUGACUAAGUUAUGAUAGUUUUAGUAAAAAAAAAAACUUUUUUUGCUUCAGUUUUAUCAAGAAAUCCAUAUAUCAAUAAUUCGUCACUUAAUCAAGUAUAACUUUUUAUGGAAUUGUCCGACUUUUAUAAUUUUUUCACUUUUGAAAAAUUGAAUUAAAGACCUUUCUAAUAAUAUAUAACAAUCUACUAUUUAAUUAAUUUAAAAUUUUUAUGUCAC
rnacentral:lncRNA from 1 species